UACGAAGGGGGCUAGCGUUGUUCGGAAUUACUGGGCGUAAAGCGCACGUAGGCGGCUUGUCACGUCGGAUGUGAAAGCCCGAGGCUUAACCUCGGGUCUGCAUUCGAUACGGGCUAGCUAGAGUGUGGUAGGGGAGAUCGGAAUUCCUGGUGUAGCGGUGAAAUGCGCAGAUAUCAGGAGGAACACCGGUGGCGAAGGCGACUUCCUGGCCUGUUCUUGACGCUGAGGCGCGAAAGCUAGGGUAGCAAACGGG
rnacentral:rRNA from 1 species